UUGUGAAGAAGAUUGAUAGAGGGUGGAUGAAGAUGGAUGAUUGAAAACUCUGAAUGAAGGUGAAAUGGUGAAGUGGAUGCGUGGAAGAGAGGUUCUGAGUUUUUUUAUAGAGAUUGAAGGUUCAGUUCAGGGCAGACUUUGGUUUUGAAAUCAAGGGCAUCGUUCCAGUUAGUGGUAGAGCUGGCGAUUAGUCAUGUGCAGCAGCGUGAAACACAUGUGAACACCAUUUCAAGAUUACUUUUGGCCAUGAAGAGAUUCGAGACGGAAUGGUUUGGAAACUCGGGGAAGGAUAGGUCUAGGAAAAGAUUCUUUAUGCGAUUUCUUUGUAUUUGAGAAUGAAUUGGAUAUAGAUUUGUAAUAGGAUCUGAAUUUUGUUGUAAAGAAUUUUGAAUUGGCCUUUUUGGUAUGGAUUUUGUAAUUGUAAUGAUAAUUUUUGUAAUAAUUGUUAUGUAAUGAACUGGAGGUUAAUUGGAGAAUUAGUAGGAUGUAUGUAUGGCUUUGUAUUGAUGGU